CAGACUCACACGCCUAAAUCCCGUCGCUGUCUCCUCAGUACUCACCCUUUCCACUUCUUCAAGUGUCUGCAUAUAUCUUGAACGAGUCAAAACUCUACGACCCCUCUCUCUAUCUCUGAUGGCGGGAAAGCUCAGAUGCGUCGUGGUAGCCGUUGAUGGAGGCGAGGAGAGCAUGAGCGCCCUUAAAUGGGCCCUGCAGAAUCUACGGCUAAGAUCUCAAUCAGAUGACGCCGAACCCGGCUCCUUCGUAAUCCUCCAUGUUCAAUCUCCACCGUCCAUCGCCGCAGGCCUCAAUCCCGGUGCUAUUCCCUUUGGCGGUCCCGCUGAUGUCGAGGUGCCGGCUUUCACGGCGGCGAUCGAGGCCCACCAGAAAAGAAUCACCGAGGCGAUUAUAGCCCACGCGCUGCAGAUAUGUGCGGAGAAGAACAUCGCGAAUGUCAAAACACAAGUAGUCAUUGGCGAUCCAAAGGAUAUGAUUUGUGACGUUAUUGCCAACUUGAACGCGGAUCUCCUUGUAAUGGGGUGUCGCGAUUCCGGUGCCAUUAAAAGAAUGCUUUGAAAAUGGAUGAAUUGGUGUUGGUCUUGAAUUCAGCCAUGCAGAACACGUGUGAGGAUUGCGGGCGUGCUAGAACGGAUUGGGUCUGAUUCAAACUGUGACCACCGACCCUUGGCGUUGAGAUGGAGCAAAGUCCGGUCGUCUGCCUUACCAUUCAUCUAUUCAGCCAACUGUCGCGCUCGUUACUCAAGCGACUAGUGGAGUUCGGGGCUUUUCUUCCAAUGAGUUACUUUUUGCCUUGAAAAUUCAAGGACUUUCAAAAGUGCAACAGUUGUAUGGUCAAAAUGGAAAAUAUUGGAGAGAGAUGGAUGCGGAGAAGGUCCCGUGACUUACCACUACAGCAGGAUCAACAGCCUAGCUGAGAGCAGUAGGGUGCUUCCAGGAGCAGCGUGCUAAUGAGCGAGGCAAGGGCAAUGUUGGAGAUGACAACUAAGGUUGGCCCUGCGUGUGAAAGUAGGCUGACGGAUUCCUAAGCUACAGUCUUCCUUCAGAUCUGACAUGCCAACUCCGGGAUGCCAAACCUAUGAAUAAUGUGUUCUUGAAUAAAUUCAAUCACAUCAGUGUGCCUGCCUUCUUUUAUAGGCUUAGCCUCUACCCACUUUGUGAAAUAAUCUGUUGCAACAAUGAUGAAUUUGUUCCUUUGAGGAUGGAGGUUUUAUCAUACCGAUCAAAUCCAUGGCCCAGCCCUGAAAAGGCCACGACUUUAUGAUUGGAUUUAAUUUUGUGGCGGGCACAUGUUGCACAGGACCAUGUUGCUGGCAAGGUCGACAACCAUGCGCAUAUCUGAUACAAAAGUCUGUCAUAUUCGAUCAAUAAUACUCGCAUUGCCGAACCAACAUUCUCAUUUUUCUGCCGGCCUGAUAAGCCCUGCAAAUGUCUUCGAUGCUUUUGGGAAGUGUAAGCAACUACUGCAUCAAUCAUGUCCAGUGCCCUGUUGUGGUAGCAAAGGGUACUUGAUGAGCUACUAUAGUGAUGUCUCUCCCUUUUCUCUCAGCAUCAAGCAAUUCUCAUGGUUUGUUGGUUUGUGCAUGUAAAAAUGCUGUUUCUUGUCCACGGCGUGCAUCUUCAAUUAUUAAAAGGGUGUGGGCUUGGCUGAAUGCUGUGGUUGUUGACUUCUUGUUGUUAAUAUUGAAUUUUCAUCCUUGUAUUUGAAGGCCGAUUGCUUGCUUUCGCUCUGCAAGUGGUCAGGUGUGAGGUGUUUUGGGGUCUUUUAAUCUUUUGUUUAUUUAUUUAUUUAUAUUUAGUAGGUUUGGGGAUCUUUGAAUCUAAAGUCUUUGUGGUGUUGUUUGCUGUCCCAAUAAACUUUUGGACGGUCCUCAUUUGUUGACUUUGGAUAGGCCAUGGUUCAUGUAAUAAAAAUCUUGUGAUAUUUUUCUCCUUAGCUUCGAAUCUUAGCAAUCAUAUUGAAUGGACACUCUUGUUUUGUCA